rnacentral:rRNA from 1 species
GGUUAAGCGACUAAGCGUACACGGUGGAUGCCCUGGCAGUCAGAGGCGAUGAAGGACGUGCUAAUCUGCGAUAAGCGUCGGUAAGGUGAUAUGAACCGUUAUAACCGGCGAUUUCCGAAUGGGGGAAACCCAGUGUGUUUCGACACACUAUCAUUAACUGAAUCCAUAGGUUAAUGAGGCGAACCGGGGGAACUGAAACAUCUAAGUACCCCGAGGAAAAGAAAUCAACCGAGAUUCCCCCAGUAGCGGCGAGCGAACGGGGAGGAGCCCAGAGCCUGAAUCAGUGUGUGUGUUAGUGGAAGCGUCUGGAAAGGCGCGCGAUACAGGGUGACAGCCCCGUACACAAAAAUGCACAUGCUGUGAGCUCGAUGAGUAGGGCGGGACACGUGGUAUCCUGUCUGAAUAUGGGGGGACCAUCCUCCAAGGCUAAAUACUCCUGACUGACCGAUAGUGAACCAGUACCGUGAGGGAAAGGCGAAAAGAACCCCGGCGAGGGGAGUGAAAAAGAACCUGAAACCGUGUACGUACAAGCAGUGGGAGCCUCUUAAUGGGGUGACUGCGUACCUUUUGUAUAAUGGGUCAGCGACUUAUAUUCUGUAGCAAGGUUAACCGAAUAGGGGAGCCGAAGGGAAACCGAGUCUUAACUGGGCGUUAAGUUGCAGGGUAUAGACCCGAAACCCGGUGAUCUAGCCAUGGGCAGGUUGAAGGUUGGGUAACACUAACUGGAGGACCGAACCGACUAAUGUUGAAAAAUUAGCGGAUGACUUGUGGCUGGGGGUGAAAGGCCAAUCAAACCGGGAGAUAGCUGGUUCUCCCCGAAAGCUAUUUAGGUAGCGCCUCGUGAAUUCAUCUCCGGGGGUAGAGCACUGUUUCGGCAAGGGGGUCAUCCCGACUUACCAACCCGAUGCAAACUGCGAAUACCGGAGAAUGUUAUCACGGGAGACACACGGCGGGUGCUAACGUCCGUCGUGAAGAGGGAAACAACCCAGACCGCCAGCUAAGGUCCCAAAGUCAUGGUUAAGUGGGAAACGAUGUGGGAAGGCCCAGACAGCCAGGAUGUUGGCUUAGAAGCAGCCAUCAUUUAAAGAAAGCGUAAUAGCUCACUGGUCGAGUCGGCCUGCGCGGAAGAUGUAACGGGGCUAAACCAUGCACCGAAGCUGCGGCAGCGACACUAUGUGUUGUUGGGUAGGGGGAGCGUUCUGUAAGCCUGUGAAGGUGGCCUGUGAGGGUUGCUGGAGGUAUCAGAAGUGCGAAUGCUGACAUAAGUAACGAUAAAGCGGGUGAAAAGCCCGCUCGCCGGAAGACCAAGGGUUCCUGUCCAACGUUAAUCGGGGCAGGGUGAGUCGACCCCUAAGGCGAGGCCGAAAGGCGUAGUCGAUGGGAAACAGGUUAAUAUUCCUGUACUUGGUGUUACUGCGAAGGGGGGACGGAGAAGGCUAUGUUGGCCGGGCGACGGUUGUCCCGGUUUAAGCGUGUAGGCUGGUUUUCCAGGCAAAUCCGGAAAACCAAGGCUGAGGCGUGAUGACGAGGCACUACGGUGCUGAAGUGACAAAUGCCCUGCUUCCAGGAAAAGCCUCUAAGCAUCAGGUAACAUCAAAUCGUACCCCAAACCGACACAGGUGGUCAGGUAGAGAAUACCAAGGCGCUUGAGAGAACUCGGGUGAAGGAACUAGGCAAAAUGGUGCCGUAACUUCGGGAGAAGGCACGCUGAUAUGUAGGUGAAGCGACUUGCUCGUGGAGCUGAAAUCAGUCGAAGAUACCAGCUGGCUGCAACUGUUUAUUAAAAACACAGCACUGUGCAAACACGAAAGUGGACGUAUACGGUGUGACGCCUGCCCGGUGCCGGAAGGUUAAUUGAUGGGGUUAGCGGUAACGCGAAGCUCUUGAUCGAAGCCCCGGUAAACGGCGGCCGUAACUAUAACGGUCCUAAGGUAGCGAAAUUCCUUGUCGGGUAAGUUCCGACCUGCACGAAUGGCGUAAUGAUGGCCAGGCUGUCUCCACCCGAGACUCAGUGAAAUUGAACUCGCUGUGAAGAUGCAGUGUACCCGCGGCAAGACGGAAAGACCCCGUGAACCUUUACUAUAGCUUGACACUGAACAUUGAGCCUUGAUGUGUAGGAUAGGUGGGAGGCUUUGAAGUGUGGACGCCAGUCUGCAUGGAGCCGACCUUGAAAUACCACCCUUUAAUGUUUGAUGUUCUAACGUUGGCCCCUAAUCGGGGUUGCGGACAGUGUCUGGUGGGUAGUUUGACUGGGGCGGUCUCCUCCUAAAGAGUAACGGAGGAGCACGAAGGUUGGCUAAUCCUGGUCGGACAUCAGGAGGUUAGUGCAAUGGCAUAAGCCAGCUUGACUGCGAGCGUGACGGCGCGAGCAGGUGCGAAAGCAGGUCAUAGUGAUCCGGUGGUUCUGAAUGGAAGGGCCAUCGCUCAACGGAUAAAAGGUACUCCGGGGAUAACAGGCUGAUACCGCCCAAGAGUUCAUAUCGACGGCGGUGUUUGGCACCUCGAUGUCGGCUCAUCACAUCCUGGGGCUGAAGUAGGUCCCAAGGGUAUGGCUGUUCGCCAUUUAAAGUGGUACGCGAGCUGGGUUUAGAACGUCGUGAGACAGUUCGGUCCCUAUCUGCCGUGGGCGCUGGAGAACUGAGGGGGGCUGCUCCUAGUACGAGAGGACCGGAGUGGACGUAUCACUGGUGUUCGGGUUGUCAUGCCAAUGGCACUGCCCGGUAGCUAAAUGCGGAAGAGAUAAGUGCUGAAAGCAUCUAAGCACGAAACUUGCCCCGAGAUGAGUUCUCCCUGAGACUUAGAGUCUCCUGAAGGAACGUUGAAGACGACGACGUUGAUAGGCCGGGUGUGUAAGCGCAGCGAUGCGUUGAGCUAACCGGUACUAAUGAACCGUGAGGCUUAACCUU